GACGAACGCUGGCGGCGUGCUUAACACAUGCAAGUCGAACGAAGUGGCGGACGGGUGAGUAAUACGUGGGUAACCUGCCCUCCUUUGUGGGAUAAGCCUUGGAAACGGGGUCUAAUACCGGAUAUAGAGAGAUGGGAUUGCGGCCUAUCAGCUUGUUGGUGGGGUGAUGGACUACCAAGGCGGGGAGGGGUAGCCGGCCUGAGAGGGAGACCGGCAACAUUGGGACUGGCAUACUGCCCAGACUCCUACCGGAGGCAGAAGUGGGGGAUAGUGCACAAUGCGCGAAAGGCUGUGGCAGCGACGUCGCGUGGGGGUUGAAGUCUUAAGGGUUUUAAACCUCGUUAGCUAUCGAACGGGUAGGUGGAGAAGAAGCGCCGGCUAACUACGUGCCAGCAGCCGCGGUAAUAC
rnacentral:rRNA from 1 species